UACCGGUGCUCUUUUCUGAACUGAGCAACUGUCUGGCUCAGCUCCUGCUGUUGAGAAGAAACUAUUCCAGCAUUAUAGUAGCAACCAAGACUUUAGUUUGGCCUUGGUUAAAUGAGCCUUUUGGACCAGGUCAGCCAGAUCCGGCAAAGCUGGGCAACAAGGACCUAUGAUUCUAUGGAAUACUCCUGUAUUCCACAGCCCCUAUCACAUGGAACACAGCAAGACGAUGGCUGUCUGCAGGCCAGGAAGAGGACUCUCACCAGACACCAAAUCUGCCUGCACCUUGAUCUUGGAUUUCCCAGCCUCCCCAGGUAACUGAGACAUAAAUGUUUGUUUUUUAA